UGAUGACGCCAAUGGUCCGCAGGCCUGAAAGAGCCCAGAGGUCAGAGGUCGCCGUGAGAAAGGGGUCCGGGCUGGCAGCCUGGGGGUCCCCACUUCUAGGCUGUGAGACCCGGGACGAGCCAUAACGUCCCCUGCCUGGACCCCAGUUUCCCUCAUGUCAAGAGAAGACAACAGCCACACCGAUCCCAGUGGGGUGUCCAUGAAGAUCAACGUGGCUUGUGACAAAUGUUCUAUCAGUAAAUACUGGCCACCGUCACGGUCAUUCCCAUGAUCUGCGACAGUGCCGGGGAAACCUCACGGAAACCCAAAUCCCAGGUCAGUCUCCGUGCUGUGCCGAGUCACCUGCCAAGUCCCAACAUGAUACGCAAACCCACGGCGACUGUUUCUAGGGUUACCUUUCACCCUAACGGCCAAAAUUCCACUCUGGGAACAACCCCCAUCGAAUUCCUCCCGUCUCCGGGUCACCUAGACAAGGGAACCCUCCUAGCAAAGCUACACGCCUACAGAUCAGUGCCCCUGCCGGCGCAGAAGGAUCCUCUCCGUGCUAGUGCGUGUGUGGACAUGGACGUGUGCACGUGUGACACGCGGGAGGCCCAGAGAGACCUCCGGAGGGUGCCGAGGGGGGCAGCGAGCACAGCCGUGCGCUCCCUGGGGCCCCUGCCCGUUCACAUUCGGCAGUGUGAACCUCUGAGCCUCUGAGCCGGCAUCACCUUUCUGGAAGGCAAAGCAGCCACAGCCGUGAAUACCCACAAGGCUUGCCAGGGAGGGAGGGGGGAGGCAGACAGAGUGCAGCAAAGGGAUGUGACUGGGGCUCCCACUGACUCUAUUGGAAAUGUCGGAUUUCACCAGAGGAUUGUUUAUGAAAGACCAGAAAUGACCCAAAUGCUCAAGAACAAAGAAUGGGCAAGAGUGGCCCGUUCGGUGGAUGCCACGUAGACGUGUCCCUAUGAGACCAGAGAAACAUGCACACACGUUACGGAAAAAAUCAGGAAAGACCACCCCGUUUUUUAAAACAACAGAAGAGGAAAUGCCGGCAUGCGUCACCAGACCGCGGGGGGUGCCCAUGUGAUGAAGCUUCCGCUCUGCCGUUAGACGUGAGACUGAGUCCAGAGUCAUGAUGUUAGAACCUCCCUUGCUGUGGGUCAAAGAGAAGCCACUGUCCUAGAGGGGUCGGAGCUGCCAGCACUCUCCAGCUUGCCAAGAGCCCAGACGCACAUCCAUGGGACCCAUCUGUCCUUCCUCCCCAAGGCAUGUGGCACAGUAUGGAGAGGGAGACACCACUGUGGCCUCACCAAAGCCCGUCUCACGGUCUCUCCUCAUCUGGCUGUUCACAGCGUCCCCCACCUAGACGUGAACCGCUCAGGAGAACCGCUUUCUGGGCAGGGUCUCAUGUGGACACAGGAGGCCUCUUCGUGCCUUGUGAGCCCAGGGUAUCUACAAGCCAUACUGAUGCCGAGGUGCGGGGCCACAGGGAAGGGACUACCAAUUAGCGGUGGUCCCAUCAGACUCGGGAUAAGGCAAGAAUAAAAUGCGUUCAUCCUGAGAUGUAGGUACUGAGCCUACAGGCGUUCGCUGUACAAUUCCUCAACUUUUCCCGAUGUGCAUAUUUUCAUAGUAAAUGUUGGGCUGGGGGCGGCUUGCAGGCUCAGAGACCAUGGCUCUGCAGUGACGCUGAAGAGAUGGAAGGAAAUCACGCUGGCAAACAGCCCAAAGAACUGGACUGCGACGGACAGGCCAAGAUGAGAACUAGAGAUCGCCUCCACGGUCAGCAGGAGACGUGGCUACACACAUCCCAGCACAGACAUACCGUCCGCUGCGAAGGAUCAGUACAAAGGAUGGGGGCGGAGCCCCACGACGAGAGAGAGAGAAAACCGGGCAGGUCUAGAAUCUCUCCCCAGACACAAGGCAGAAAGAAAUGAGCACAAAGGGGGUCGCCACCCCACCUCCGUGACCUAAUAAACCGUGGCCGACAUUCGGCCCCUGCUGGCUCUAGCCAA